AAUUCAUGAUGUGAGCAUUAUUACAAUAGCCCCUUAAAUUUAUCUUAUGCCUCAAACAAAGAUUUCUCUUCCUUUUAUGUAAAACUUGUGAUUUGAUUUUUCAGAUG